GCAUCCGGGACCCCGCGGGUGAGCGCGUGCCCGCGGCCCGUUUGGUCCCUCCAGUGAGACAGCCAUCGCGUCUGGCUCCCAGACUCGGACACCUGGGGGAGCGCCCUGUGGCCACGGAGAGCUCGACUGCUGAAGUUGGAUCACGUACCCCCCCCCCCCUGGGACUGCCACAGAGCGAUGAGCUCUGGACCCCAAGGGCAGUGCCUAGUGAGACAAGCAUAGUUUCUUCAACUCUGGCCAUACCAGCAAAUCUGAAGGAUCACAGCCACGAUGGUGGCAGCCUACCACCGUUGACACUGAACUUGUGGUUAAUUGUGGAGUUCUGCCACAAAACCACCUCACUACCACAAGCUGGAUACUUGCCCAGGAGAGUGACAAACUGCCAGGCAGAGCAAUCUCUGGGAGGCAGCAAGAGCAAAAUGCUUUGGACACCAGACAGCAGUCAUUUCUGGAUCCCAAACAGAGCUAUUUGCAAGUCAGCUUGUUCUGCUAAACCUGCUUAAAGUUUAUUCAUGCUGUUUUUGAAGAGAAACUCAAGAGAAUUUACAAAUAAAUUCUUAGAUACAUUACUAGUAUCGUUAGUAAAUUAAAUUCUUUUAUAAAUUUAAUGGGAUGGAAUUGAAAAUAAAAUUAAAAUUAUAUUACUCUGAACUGAUAAAUGAAACACCUACACAUGAUCAUUGCAAAUAAUGUAUUUUGUGUGUGUGUGUGUAUUGUAUGUGUGUGUGUGUAUUUUGUGUGUUUCUCCCUCCUGAUCUCUGAGAUUACAUGUGUAUAACACCUCUACCCUGCUAUCCUAGGCCUGUGGAAAUUUAUACUAUAAAAAAUAUGUUGAUUUAGAGUCUAUUCAAGAUAACAGAAGGAAACAAAAAAAUUGAUAUAACAACCCAUUUUGUCUAUAAUAACAUUAAACAUUCUAAAGACAAGGAAACAUUUGUGUUUUUCAGAAGUUUAUUAAUUCAUUUAGCAUGUACCAGGCACUAUUUAGACACUAAAGUUACAAAUCUAUUUAAACAACCGCUUCCCUCAGUUUAGUAGAAGGGAAAAUAUGUAAACAAGUGCAGCGUAGUGUGAAAUGCUCUGAGUUCUUAGCUAGUACAGCGUGGAACAAAGAGGAGUUCUCAGACAAAAAGAUGAUAACCUGAUUACUGAGGAAUAAAUAAAGGCUUCCCAAUUGUAUAAGAAGAAAGACAAGAAUCCAGACAAAGAGCAGGAUGUGCAGGACCAUGAGAGCUGUCACAGGAAAUUAUGGAACUGUAGGCAGAUUGGUAUGAUUUGGGGUAGAAGAAAAGUGGAUGUGGGAAGAAAAAAAUGCAAAAUAGAAAUAUGGAGGCCAGAACAAAUGAAACUCAAGAUGGAUGAUCAAAAUGUGAAUGUUUCACGCCUUCUUUAAAAGGGAACAAGAAUACCCUUGGCAGGGAAGAGAGAGGCAAAGAUUAAAACAGAGACUGAAGUAACACCAUUCAGAGCCUGCCCCACUGUGGC
rnacentral:lncRNA from 1 species